rnacentral:rRNA from 1 species
AGAGUUUGAUCCUGGCUCAGAACGAACGCUGGCGGCGUGCUUAACACAUGCAAGUCGCACGAGAAAGUCCCCUUCGGGGGGCAAGUAAAGUGGCGCACGGGUGAGUAGUACUAAGGUAAUCUGCCUUCGAGCGUGGGAUAACCCUUCGAAAGGGGGGCUAAUACCGCAUAAGACCACGGGCACAUAAGUGCCAGGGGUCAAAGAUGGCCUCUACUUGUAAGCUAUCACUUGAAGAUGAGCCUUAGCACCAUUAGCUUGUUGGUGGGGUAACGGCCUACCAAGGCUCCGAUGGUUAGCUGGUCUGAGAGGAUGACCAGCCACACUGGAACUGAGACACGGUCCAGACUCCUACGGGAGGCAGCAGUGAGGAAUAUUGGACAAUGGGCGAAAGCCUGAUCCAGCGACGCCGCGUGAGUGAUGAAGGCCCUCGGGUCGUAAAGCUCUGUCAGGUGGGACGAAUAAGACAAGCAUCAGAUCCUUGUCGAUGACGUACCGCCAAAGAAGCACCGCUAACU